UACGAAGGGGGCGAGCGUUGUUCGGAUUUACUGGGCGUAAAGGGCGCGUAGGCGGCGGGUCAAGUCGAGUGUGAAAGCCCCGGGCUCAACCUGGGAAUUGCGCUCGAGACUGGUCUGCUUGAGUUCGGGAGAGGAGAGUGGAAUUCCUGGUGUAGCGGUGAAAUGCGCAGAUAUCAGGAAGAACACCCGUGGCGAAGGCGGCUCUCUGGGACGGUACUGACGCUGAGACGCGAAAGCGUGGGGAGCGAACAGG
rnacentral:rRNA from 1 species